GAGCCAUUAGACUUUGAAUUCUAUGAAAUCAUAUUAAAUAUAUACAUCUCAGAUUCGCAAAGUAAUUUGGAAAUUUUACCUUCACAAGAAGUCUUUAUUGAGUUUAUUAUAAUAAAACAGAGUGAAUGAUAAGAAUGCCAACUAAGAAAAUAAAAAGAAAUUCAAUCUAGAAAGACCAUUUGAAAAAAAAAACUCGUCUUAAAAAUUUAAAAUAGAACCCUCAUUCAGAAAGAGAUUGAGAUCAUGAACAAGAUUUGUAAGAUUGUUUUCCAUUCUAUUCCUUUAUUCUAAUUGAAUAUAUCACGAAUUAACUACAUCACUUCAGUAUGUGCAGAAUGUUCCCAUGAAAACAUAACAUUCACAAAGAAAUACUAACAUAAUUAUUUUAAAACUAAAA
rnacentral:misc_RNA from 1 species